rnacentral:rRNA from 1 species
CACAGGUGGUCGGGUAGAGAAUACCAAGGCGCUUGAGAGAACUCGGGUGAAGGAACUAGGCAAAAUGGUACCGUAACUUCGGGAGAAGGUACGCUCUUGAUGGUGAAGUCCCUCGCGGAUGGAGCUGACGAGAGUCGCAGAUACCAGGUGGCUGCAACUGUUUAUUAAAAACACAGCACUGUGCAAAAUCGCAAGAUGACGUAUACGGUGUGACGCCUGCCCGGUGCCGGAAGGUUAAUUGAUGGGGUUAGCGCAAGCGAAGCUCUUGAUCGAAGCCCCGGUAAACGGCGGCCGUAACUAUAACGGUCCUAAGGUAGCGAAAUUCCUUGUCGGGUAAGUUCCGACCUGCACGAAUGGCGUAAUGAUGGCCACGCUGUCUCCACCCGAGACUCAGUGAAAUUGAAAUCGCUGUGAAGAUGCAGUGUACCCGCGGCUAGACGGAAAGACCCCGUGAACCUUUACUACAGCUUGGCACUGAACAUUGAACCUACAUGUGUAGGAUAGGUGGGAGGCUAUGAAGACGUGACGCCAGUUGCGUUGGAGCCGUCCUUGAAAUACCACCCUUGUAUGUUUGAUGUUCUAACUUAGACCCGUUAUCCGGGUUGAGGACAGUGCCUGGUGGGUAGUUUGACUGGGGCGGUCUCCUCCCAAAGAGUAACGGAGGAGCACGAAGGUGGGCUAAUCACGGUUGGACAUCGUGAGGUUAGUGCAAUGGCAUAAGCCCGCUUAACUGCGAGAAUGACGGUUCGAGCAGGUGCGAAAGCAGGUCAUAGUGAUCCGGUGGUUCUGUAUGGAAGGGCCAUCGCUCAACGGAUAAAAGGUACUCCGGGGAUAACAGGCUGAUACCGCCCAAGAGUUCAUAUCGACGGCGGUGUUUGGCACCUCGAUGUCGGCUCAUCACAUCCUGGGGCUGAAGUCGGUCCCAAGGGUAUGGCUGUUCGCCAUUUAAAGUGGUACGCGAGCUGGGUUUAGAACGUCGUGAGACAGUUCGGUCCCUAUCUGCCGUGGGCGUUGGAAGAUUGAAGGGGGCUGCUCCUAGUACGAGAGGACCGGAGUGGACGAACCUCUGGUGUUCGGGUUGUGUCGCCAGACGCAUUGCCCGGUAGCUAAGUUCGGAAUUGAUAAGCGCUGAAAGCAUCUAAGCGCGAAGCGAGCCCUGAGAUGAGUCUUCCCUGAUACUUUAAGUAUCCUAAAGGGUUGUUCGAGACUAGAACGUUGAUAGGCAGGGUGUGUAAGCGUUGUGAGGCGUUGAGCUAACCUGUACUAAUUGCCCGUGAGGCUUAACCAUACAACACCCA